rnacentral:lncRNA from 1 species
AAUUUAAUUUUUUUUGCUUAUUUUUAUUGUGUUUUUACUUUUCUUAAUUUCUUUUAUUUAUUUUAUAUUCAGAUUUAAUCCCCUUCUUUAAUUUCACAGAUUAAUAUAAUUUUUUGUUGUAAGAAAUAAUAAAAUUGAACAGUCCAAUCUCUAUGCGAUCAACCCUACUCUCUAUACUACAAAUUUAAUUUUCAGUUGUA